rnacentral:misc_RNA from 1 species
GGAGGGUCCUCCUUUUUAACGCACUCUCUUCACAGUUCACACAAAUUUCAAAAAGCAAAAGCCGAAAUGGAAUGCAGGAAAUUAAAUUGAACACAGUUCAAAUCUAGUCCAAAGACGACAUUUUUGUGAAUUGUUUGUGAAAUUGCUCACUAGAUUUAUCACUCCAUCCAUGUCCGCCCAAGCACAAAGUGCUUUAUUCCUUGGCGAUGGAAUACAUUAUGCGACGCCAAUAAUAUCCUCGACGAGGACAAGUGAAGUAGAGGUGGUGCGAGGUGUCCUGCGAAUGAUGCAGGGCCUGUCGAGUUCCCUUUUCUAUUGGGACCAAAUUAAGCAGAGUUUUUGUGUUGCCAGAAGUGGGAUAUAUGUGACUCACCUUUCCCUUACAAGCCUUCAGAACCUUCUCAAUCAGUUCCUGUAUUCUGCUACUUGUUUACAACUUGUUCAAGUUAAUGUCAAUAGAUUGGAGUUAGAGACUCGAAUGCCUACUCUAAGGGCUUUUGCAUCUGCUGUUACUCAAUGGCUUAAGAGGUUGAGAGAUAUUGCUUUAAAGGAAGAAAUUAAGAUGUGCAACUCUAAUAUAGGAAUCACUCCCACCGUUUUGGGAUUGUCAAGUUCCUUAUCCAGUCUUUGCUCAGGUGCUGAAUGUUUAUUGCAAAUAGUGCAUGGAGCUAUUCCACAAGCGUACUUUCAGCCUAAUUCUUCUAUUCCAGCAUCUGAAAUGGCUGUUCAUAUCCUAGACUACCUUUACAAGAAAUUGGAUGAAGUGUGUCUUGUGCAAGGUGGUGAGGAGGAAGCAUAUCUUAUGGUGCUUCAUAUUCUUGUUGGAAGUUUAUUACCAUAUAUUGAGGGACUUGAUUCAUGGAUUUUCAAAGGAACACUUGAUGAUCCUUUCGAGGAGAUGUUCUUUUAUGAUAACAGAGGAAUCUCAGUUGAUGAGUCUGAGUUCUGGGAGAAGAGCUAUCAACUGAGACAAGUACAAGGUCAGAAGUUUGAUGUUGGGCUUUCUGCCCCAACUUCUGCCAACUCCUUAUCAAAUAACAAGAAGGAAAUGGGUGAAAAAGAUUCUGUUUCUAUGUCUAUUUCUGUGAAGGUCAAGGAACAGAACAAGAAGGAACUUCAGUUAUGCCCUUUAUUUAUUAAGAACCUUGCAAAGUCCAUUGUCUCUGCUGGAAAGUCAUUGCAGCUGAUACGCCAUGUUCCUAUGUUUUACUCGGUGCUAUCUGGCAAAAGUGUUGACAAUGAAAUUGAUGGCUUUGGAGGUUCUGAGGAUGAUAAAGAUAUAAAUAGUCAGCAACAAAGCAUAGCAGGGUUAGCCUUGCCAGAGAUUUUCAGUAUUUCAGUAGCAGGCCUCAUAGGCCAUGGUGAGCACAUCUCAAGGUACCUUUUACAAGAUGACCCAUGCAAAUAUGAGAUUGUCCAUUCUUUGGUUUCUGAAAUGACCAGGGAAAUGGUUGGGAAUGGGAAUGGGAAUGGGAAUUGUGAAAGCUGGCCAACUUUAAAAUGCUCAGAGAAUAUUUGUUGCAAGGUCUUCGGCAAGACAGUGUCACAUGAAAAUGUGCUUGAUGUGGAAUCUACAAAUAAGGAUGAGAUUGGCUUUUCUGACACUGAAGAAGGGUGUAUAACUGUAGGUGUGGUGGAUGAGUUGCCCCUCCAAAGUUCAUUCUGUCCAGAAAAUCCAGUUAUCACUGUGUGUCAAAGAUUACUUGAUAAGCAUAAAGAUUUCUGGAAAAUAUUGAACUUACCAAAAAAUUUUCGUCUACCCCCUUUAAAUGAUGAGGUCUUACGGGAGUCUGUAUUUGGUCAUGAGAGUGGGCUGCUUUCUGCAGUUAAAGGAACUAAUUAUGCUUUUGGUUUCCAGUUUGGUAAAUCUGAGUAUCUUCGUUCACAAGAGGACAUUAAGCUGCUAGAAGUCUUGUUCCCUUUUCCCACUCUUCUUCCUUCUAUCCAGGAUGAUAUCUGUAUGUCAGGGCUCUUGCCUUUCCAGAAGAAUAGCACCCUUGCAUCAAGAGUUCUCAGCUGGAUUCAAGGCACCGAACCUAGAACAAUGCCACUUCCACUGGUUAUUAUUCAAGAAUGCCUAACUGUCUAUAUUAAGAAGCAGGUGGAUUAUAUUGGCCACCUUAUGUUGUCAAAGUUGAUGAAGGAUUGGAGAUUAACGGAUGAGCUUGGUGUUUUACGUGCCAUAUACCUGUUAGGUUCAGGUGAUCUACUGCAGCACUUUUUGACAGUGAUUUUCAGUAAGCUGGACAGGGGGGAAACAUGGGAUGAUAAUUUUGAGUUAAACUUGAUUCUACAGGUGCAUUUUGUGAACUAAUUCAAGCAUCAUGCCUUGCACAUGGCUAAAUUAAUUUUUCUUCUCAAUUCUACUCCCUCGACCCAGUAGAAGAAUAAACUAAAGUUAUUUCACACUGGGAAAGUUCAUAAUUGUAUUCUACUUGAGGAGGGUUGGACUGCCAUGCUGAGUGCAUAGAACCAUCUGUUAGUGUCCAUUUACUUAAAAGUAAAAGAUAAUAUAAUAAGAAAAAUUUGUUGCCUAAAAUGUCAUGAUGUGGUGUCUCCCCCUCUACAACAGGAAUCCAUCAGGAAUUCUGCUGAUAGCAUGCUGCUAAGUGCUCCAGAUUCAUUGUUUGUGUCCAUCAUCAAGAAUCAUGGUUUUGAUGGUGAUGAGCUACCUAUUUCUCCAACCCUUGCCUCAACAACUCAUAAGAGUCGUCCGCAUAGCUUUGGAAUAGAUGGUCUUGACUCUUUGAAAUUCACAUACAAGGUCUGUUAUAUGGUCCAGGAGGCUUGAAUUUGUUUUAAAACCCAUGUCUUCACUUAAGCACUUCCAAAUGUGACAGGUCUCCUGGCCACUUGAACUUAUUGCUAAUGCAGAGGCAAUUAACAAGUAUAACCAGGUAUCUUGUUUUGUGUUGAAGGUGUUGUCAUAGAGUUUUUCUUGUUCUUUGACCGUUCUAUGUCGGUACUCUGCUGUAGGUGAUGAGGUUUUUGUUGAAGGUCAAGCGUGCCAAAUAUGCACUUGACAAAGUUCGGAGGUGGAUGUGGAAGGUUCUUUUUAUUUUCUUCUUGUGACGCUAAUCUAGUUUAGCUUUUUAUUUAGUUGAUUAGAGCAUAUAUCUGGUGUUUUGACAGAAGGAAAUAUGUUGCAUAUCACUGGAAGGAAAAAGAAACAUGUUAUUUUAGGGCCACUCUUUACAAUGGUAUUGUUUCUCUAACUUGAUAUCUGUUAUUAUCCCUUUCAGGGCAGAGGCGCUGGGACAAACAGCCACAAGCAUCACUGGUUAGUGGAGCAGAAACUCCUUCAUUUUGUGGAUGCCUUCCACCAGUAUGUAAUGGAUAGGGUAAGAAUUUGGUGAAAAUUACUUUCAUGGACAAACUGGUCACAAUGAUGACACAGAUACAGAUAUUAAGACCACAUUAUUAACUCCAAACAUAGAAACAUUAUUGAAUUUAUUUAAUGGUUUUCUCAUAUCUUUUGUUAUAUCUGGAAAUUUUCUACACGAGGACCAUUGGCUAGUGCAUCUGUAAAAACUACUCACAAGGUAUUAGAUUUGAAGCAUGAUGGCAGCUAUGUGAUGUCGUACAAAUUUGAUAAGGGUAUAAACUGCCUCCAGAGUUUCUUUUUUGGGAUUCACCAUGCUGGGGCAACAACUGGCACUGGUCCUUCUGUUUUGAAAAUUUUCUACCUGCAAUUUGGUGGUUUUGUGAACCAUCUUUAGUGAUGAGCAUAUUUUCAAGACAUGCCUCUAUUUUCAUUUAUUUCUUUCUUUCUAUUUUUGGGAUAAAAAUUGCAUUGUUGUCUCUAUUAUCUUGUCCUAGUAUUUAUUCAUGGCUAUAAUUACAUACAUAUGUAGGUCUUUAUCUUUUGCUUAAUGCAUUUGACUCUUUAUAUUUUUGUUCAUUCUGCACAGAUGCCUAAAGUCCAUAGUUGAGCUGAAAAUUGGCCUUUUUGGUAUUGAUUAAAUGAGAAUGGUUCCAGAAUUUUUCUUCUACCACUGAAUUUAAUCUAGAAAAACACCUGGACAUAGGGGGAAUAAGAAAAAAACAUUAUUUACUAGGUUCAAGUUUAUAUGAGUUGGAACUUGUAACUCUCAAAAAACCUGCAUACUCUGUUUAUUUCAGAUCUCCAGAGUGCUUUUGUCCUACUCUUUAUACAUGAUUAUAACUUAAUGUUAAGAUGGAAAGAUUUAUAUGAUGCAUUUCAGUGAUGGGUUCUUUGUGGCACAUUUUGUGAGCAGGUAUAUCACAGUGCAUGGCAUGAACUUUGUGAAGGUAUGGCAACAGCUGGAUCUCUGGAUGAAGUCAUUGAAGUACAUGAGGCGUACUUAUUAUCAAUUCAGCGGCAAUGCUUUGUGGUUCCAGAUAAGCUGUGGGCCUUGAUUGCAAGUCGAAUCAACAUGAUCCUUGGAUUAGCUUUGGACUUCUACUCCAUUCAACAGACAUUAAGUAGUGGCAGUGCAACUUCUGCAAUGAAGGCCAGAUGUGAAAUGGAAGUGGAUAGAAUCGAGAAACGUUUUGAUGAUUGCAUUGCCUUUCUUCUCAGAAUCUUGUCUUUCAAACUCAAUGUGGGGCAAUUCCCUCAUUUGGCUGAUCUGGUGACUAGAAUUAAUUACAACUAUUUCUACAUGUCUGAUAAUGGAAGCUUGAAGACUGCCACUGGCUCUGAAACUGUUAGUUCAAGGCUGGGGAAAGUCUUUGGAGCUAGAAUGGACUAAUUAAAUUAGCGCAGGAUGGUUUAUGAUGCCAUGUCACUAAAUUUCGGAUAUGAGGAUGUGUUUUCCUGAAUUAAAUUUUGCUGCCAUCUGGAAGCAAAUUCCUUGGCUCUGUACCUUUUCAUAUCAGUGCGGCAUAAAAUAGUAAGUGGUUUAGAAUUCACAAAUUGUCUAAUUCAAUGCGAAAAGGUGCAAAGCAAUGAUACAUGAGCUACAUUUAGUUACUAGAAUAUGCAAGUUGCUUAAUUGCUGCAGAUUUCCUCAACUUCAAAGGCAUUUCAGCUUUACUGAGAUGCAGAAAGACGACUUGAUGCUUGAUGAAGAUUCAGGAGUUGGAUAUUUUUAUUCUGGGUUUCUUGCUUUAUGCAUAUCUUUCCCUUUUCUCCCCUAUAUAUAUUGGUUAGUUUUAACUGUAAAGCUGUAAAUGGCUGCUGUUCCCAGUUGUUAUUCCACGUAUGAUGUUUUUGUUUGUCUUGCUCUUCGCCUUGUAAUGGGAUUGGCCUCCUGUUAUUGAUGCUUUGAUGUUUUUUAUUCCCCAUCACCUCGUCAGCACAAUUGGUAUGGCAUCUAACAUGUUACAUAUUUACACAGUUGUAAACAUCCUUGUAUUUUCAGGGACAAACAAUUGAUAACAGGGGAAAGAAAAGAAAAUAUUUCUUUGUUGUAUAUUUUCUUAUUCUUAAAUCAAACUUGAGAGAUGCACGGCAUUCAUCACUUUAUAAAU